rnacentral:rRNA from 1 species
GACGAACGCUGGCGGCGUGCUUAACACAUGCAAGUCGAACGGAAAGGCUCCAGCUUGCUGGAGUACUCGAGUGGCGAACGGAUGAGUAACACGUGGGUAAUCUGCCCUGCACUCUGGGAUAAGCCUGGGAAACUGGGUCUAAUACUGGAUAUGACCUUUCUCCUUAUGGGGUUUGGUGGAAAGUUUUUCGGUGUAGGAUGAGCCCGCGGCCUAUCAGCUUGUUGGUGGGGUGAUGGCCUACCAAGGCGACGACGGGUAGCCGGCCUGAGAGGGUGAUCGGCCACAUUGGGACUGAGAUACGGCCCAGACUCCUACGGGAGGCAGCAGUGGGGAAUAUUGCACAAUGGGCGGAAGCCUGAUGCAGCGACGCCGCGUGAGGGAUGACGGCCUUCGGGUUGUAAACCUCUUUCAGCAGGGACGAAGCGUAAGUGACGGUACCUGCAGAAGAAGCACCGGCUAACUAUGUG